rnacentral:rRNA from 1 species
UACGUAGGGUGCAAGCGUUGUCCGGAAUUAUUGGGCGUAAAGAGCUCGUAGGCGGUCUGUCGCGUCGGCUGUGAAAUCCCGAGGCUCAACCUCGGGUCUGCAGUCGAUACGGGCAAACUAGAGUAUUGCAGGGGAGACUGGAAUUCCUGGUGUAGCGGUGAAAUGCGCAGAUAUCAGGAGGAACACCGGUGGCGAAGGCGGCUACCUGGACAGAAACUGACGCUGAGGCGCGAAAGCUAGGGGAGCAAACAGG